rnacentral:ncRNA from 2 species
UUUAGCUCAGGCGAUGGGGUUCCGCCUUAUAACCGCCCUUCUCUUUUGAAGCGUGCUGAUGACUCCUACCACUCA